rnacentral:rRNA from 1 species
AUUGAACGCUGGCGGCAGGCCUAACACAUGCAAGUCGGACGGUAGCACAGAGGAGCUUGCUCCUUGGGUGACGAGUGGCGGACGGGUGAGUAAUGUCUGGGGAUCUGCCCGAUAGAGGGGGAUAACCACUGGAAACGGUGGCUAAUACCGCAUAACGUCGCAAGACCAAAGAGGGGGACCUUCGGGCCUCUCACUAUCGGAUGAACCCAGAUGGGAUUAGCUAGUAGGCGGGGUAAUGGCCCACCUAGGCGACGAGCCCUAGCUGGUCUGCGAGGAGGACCAGCGACACUGGAGCUGAGACACGGGCCAGACUCCUGCGGGAGGCAGCAGUGGGGAAUAUUGCACAAUGGGCGCAAGCCUGAUGCAGCCAUGCCGCGUGUAUGAAGAAGGCCUUCGGGUUGUAAAGUACUUUCAGCGGGGAGGAAGGCGGUGAGGUUAAUAACCUCACCGAUUGACGUUACCCGCAGAAGAAGCACCGGCUAACUCCGUGCCAGCAGCCGCCGUAA